rnacentral:lncRNA from 1 species
AACAUUCCAGGCUCUGUGAACUAAGUGACUGAAGCUGAUUGACACAGGUCAAGGGGACUUCAAGGAAGAAAGCCAGCCUUAGACUGACAUCAGAGAACCAAACUCCGGUGUCUAAGCUCAAGCUCCUGCUUCCUGACCUGCUUGAGUUCCAGUCCUGACCUCCUUUGGUGAUGAACAGCAAUGUGGAAGUUUCCUGCCUUGACUUCUCUACAAUAAUGGACUGUAACCGAGAAUGGAAAGCCAAAGAAAGUCCUUCCUCUUCUAAGCUGCUCUUGGUCGUGGUGUUUCAUCACAACAACAGAAGAGAACCUAGGACAAUCACCUUACCUGUGAGAGCGAGGAGCCUAUGCAGUAAUACAAGUAAUUGGGAAGACACUGGCUCAGAGCCUGUCUCUGGUGACCACUGAAUUGUCCAGCACCUGAGGUCCCUGGAGCCCACGGACUGAGCCCAUCUGGGCUAAAAGAGGUCCCAUACAUCCUUCUCAAAGGCCUAUAUAAAUGCCAAGCAGAGUUAUAGCAGGAGGUUAGAAUCCUGAGAACUGUUUGGAAUAAGGAAUCCAAAUAUUGUCUUCCAGCUUCACCUUGUCACGACAGUCCUCGCCAGGGACAGCUGAGGAUGGAAACCAGCCCUGCACACUGCUGGCUCUGGAGGCCUGGUAGAUUAACAGGCACCGGACUUACAAUUGGUCUCUUAAGCCUUUCAACUCUUUAGAAGCAAAGGGGAAGGCAUGGAGGGUGCCAUGAAAUCAAAGACAUUGUUCGUAAGCUCCUGGAUCUUAUCAGUGUGAGGAAGUGUUCAAAAAAGUUCUGUCCCCCCUAGAGACAAAAAGACCUCUUCUCUGCCUCCCAGCUCCCAUGGCGCCUCUCUCGAUACGUGGCCUCUUCUGAUACUUACCUCAGCUUGGACACAGCUCUCUGAAGAUCAUCUACAUCUCCAUUUAUGCCGUGUGCACGCAGUACCAACAGAGGUCAGAGGAGGGUGUCGGAUCCCCUGGAACUGGAGUCACAGAUUCUUCCUUGCGUGGAUGAAACAGUCCCAACGAACACUUUAAAAAGACAAAUGUUCCCGACAGCACUGGUUGAAUUCAAAACUCGGCAGAUCCAUGUUCUUAUCCUUAGACAAGAGAGGGGCCAUAACAAGAUGGAAUGACGGAACAGACGUGAGAGAUGAUGGUACAGUGACUCGGGUAACCCCAGAAAAGGGACAGCUCUUCUACAGCUCAGUGGGGACAGGGACAAAAAGAAACAAUUUCAUUUCAGUCCACCCAGAGGGUCUGCACUUCUCGGAGCCAGAAGGUGGAGAAGAGUAGGGAUGGAGGAAGUUCGAAGUUUUAGGAGUCUGCUCUUGGGUCCCUAGGCAUGAGGACAAGCUUUUCCUGUACUCAAUGCUCAUCUCUCAGUUGUGCCCACAUUGGUACACAUUACUUGCUUUCAACUGCUGCUGCUGCUGUUUCCUAAUUCAAUAAAGAUAUGGCUGGCUCAGCAGAGAGCUGUCAUCC